rnacentral:rRNA from 1 species
AACGAACGCUGGCGGCAUGCCUAACACAUGCAAGUCGAACGAGACCUUCGGGUCUAGUGGCGCACGGGUGCGUAACGCGUGGGAACCUGCCCUUAGGUUCGGAAUAACUCCCCGACAGGGGUGCUAAUACCGGAUAAUGUCUUCGGACCAAAGAUUUAUCGCCUUUGGAUGGGCCCGCGUUGGAUUAGCUAGUUGGUAGGGUAAAAGCCUACCACGGCGACGAUCCAUAGCUGGUCUGAGAGGAUGAGCAGCCACACUGGGACUGAGACACGGCCCAGACUCCUACGGGAGGCAGCAGUGGGGAAUAUUGGACAAUGGGCGAAAGCCUGAUCCAGCAAUGCCGCGUGAGUGAUGAAGGCCUUAGGGUUGUAAAGCUCUUUUACCCGGGAUGAUAAUGACAGUACCGGGAGAAUAAGCUCCGGCUAACUCCGUG